GGCAAGAUGGCCGAGCGGUCUAAGGCGCUGGAAUCAGGCUUACGUAAAUUUCAUCGCGUGAUCUAUCCAGUCCGAAAGGGCACGAGUUCGAAUCUCGUUCUUGUCA
rfam:Paxillus involutus ATCC 200175 unplaced genomic scaffold PAXINscaffold_148, whole genome shotgun sequence.